rnacentral:rRNA from 1 species
UACGUAGGGUCCGAGCGUUGUCCGGAAUUAUUGGGCGUAAAGGGCUCGUAGGCGGUUCGUCACGUCGGGAGUGAAAACUCGGAGCUUAACUCCGAGCCUGCUUCCGAUACGGGCAGACUAGAGGUAGGCAGGGGAGAGCGGAACUCCUGGUGUAGCGGUGGAAUGCGCAGAUAUCAGGAAGAACACCGGUGGCGAAGGCGGAUCUCUGGGCCUUACCUGACGCUCAGGCGCGAAAGCGUGGGGAGCAAACAGG